rnacentral:rRNA from 1 species
GGAAUCUUGGGAAUGGGCGAAAGCCUGACCCAGCAACGCCGCGUGGGCGAUGAAGGCCUUCGGGUUGUAAAGCCCUUGUGCAGGGGAAGAUAAUGACGGUACCCUGCGAAUAAGCCCCGGCUACAUACGUUCCAGCAGCCGCGGUAAUACGUAGGUGGCGAGCGUUGUCCGGAUUUACUGGGCGUAGAGGGCGUGCAGGCGGUCUGUUAAGUCUAGGGUGAAAGCUCCCGGCUCAACUGGGAGAGGUCCUUGGAUACUGGCGGACUUGAGGGAGGCAGAGGAAAGUGGAAUUCCCGGUGUAGUGGUGAUAUGCGUAGAUAUCGGGAGGAACACCAGUGGCGAAGGCGGCUUUCUGGGCCUUACCUGACGCUGAGACGCGAAAGCGUGGGGAGCGAA